AUUGAACGCUGGCGGCAUGCUUUACACAUGCAAGUCGAACGGUAACAGGGUGCUUGCACCGCUGACGAGUGGCGAACGGGUGAGUAAUGCGUCGGAACGUGCCGAGCAGUGGGGGAUAACGCAUCGAACGGUGUGCUAAUCACGCAUACGUACUGAGGUAGAAAGUGGGGGACCUUCGGGCCUCACGCUAUUCGAGCGGCCGACGUCUGAUUAGCUAGUUGGUGAGGUAAAGGCUCACCAAGGCGACGAUCAGUAGCGGGUCUGAGAGGAUGAUCCGCCACACUGGGUGUGGAUGACGGGGCGAACACCGAGGGGAGGACGAUGUGGUGCUUUUGGAGCGUUAGGCGCGAGCAUGAGACAGGCAUGCCGCGUGUCUGAGGAAUGCCUUCGGGUUGCAUAGGAAUGUCGGCAGGAACGAAACGGCGAGCUCUAACAUAGCUUGCUAAUGACGGGACCUGAAGAAGAAGCACCGCCUAACAACGUGCCAGCCGCCGCCGUAACAC
rnacentral:rRNA from 1 species